GAUGAACGCUGGCGGCGUGCCUAAUACAUGCAAGUCGAGCGAACGGACGAGAAGCUUUCUUCUCUGAUGUUAGCGGCGGACGGGUGAGUAACACGUGGAUAACCUACCUAUAAUUCUGGGAUAACUUCGGGAAACCGGAGCUAAUACCAGAUAAUAUUAUGAACCGCAUGGUUCAAAAGUGAAAGACGGUCUUGCUGUCACUUAUAGAUGGAUCCGCGCUGCAUUAGCUAGUUGGUAAGGUAACGGCUUACCAAGGCAACGAUGCAUAGCCGACCUGAGAGGGUGAUCGGCCACACUGGAACUGAGACACGGUCCAGACUCCUACGGGAGGCAGCAGUAGGGAAUCUUCCGCAAUGGGCGAAAGCCUGACGGAGCAACGCCGCGUGAGUGAUGAAGGUCUUCGGAUCGUAAAACUCUGUUAUUAGGGAAGAACAUAUGUGUAAGUAACUGUGCACAUCUUGACGGUACCUAAUCAGAAAGCCACGGCUAACUACGUG
rnacentral:rRNA from 1 species